GACGAAGGUGGCGAGCGUUGUUCGGUGUUACUGGGCUUAAAGCGUGUGUAGGCGGAAAAGUAAGCGUUUUGUGAAAUCCCCCGGCUUAACCGGGGAACUGCUCGGCGAACUGCUUUUCUUGAGGCAAGUAGGGGUGCAUGGAACUCUUGGUGGAGCGGUGGAAUGCGUAGAUAUCAAGAGGAACGCCGGUGGAGAAAUCGGUGCACUGGGCUUGUACUGACGCUGAGACACGAAAGCGUGGGGAGCGAACGGGAUUAGAUACCCGCGUA
rnacentral:rRNA from 1 species